GAAAUGCGAUAAGUAAUAUGAAUUGCAGAAUUCAGUGAAUCAUCGAGUCUUUGAACGCACAUUGCGCCCGCCAGUACUCUGGCGGGCAUGCCUGUCCGAGCGUCAUUUCAACCCUCGAGCCCAGCUCGGCGUUGGGGCAGGCGGGGACUCAUCCUCCCCGCCGCCCCCAAAUACAGCGGCGUCCGCCGCCGGGACUCCCCCUGCGUAGUAGCAAGCCUCUCGCACCGGGAAACCGCGGCCGGACAGCCCCUAACCAACCAAGCGCUUGGGCCCUUCGCGGCAAAAGCACCCAUCAGGUUGACCUCGGAUCAGGUAGGAAUACCCGCUGAACUUAA
rnacentral:misc_RNA from 1 species